rnacentral:pre_miRNA from 1 species
AGGAGCAACAGCCCUAGUGGCGGGGCCAGCUCUGGAAACCUGGAUUCAGCCGCGGCAGGAACUCCGGAGCUCUCGGUCUGCAGGGCCUGGAGGCUCCCGGGCGGG